rnacentral:rRNA from 1 species
UACGGAGGGGGCGAGCGUUGUUCGGAUUUACUGGGCGUAAAGCGUGCGUAGGUGGUUUCCCAAGUUAGAAGUGAAAGCCCAGGGCUUAACCCUGGAACUGCUUUUAAAACUGGGUCACUAGAAUAUAGGAGAGGUAGAUGGAAUUCCGAGUGUAGAGGUGAAAUUCGUAGAUAUUCGGAGGAACACCAAUGGCGAAAGCAGUCUACUGGACUAUUAUUGACACUGAGGCACGAAAGCGUGGGGAGCAAACAGG